rnacentral:rRNA from 1 species
AGGAAUAUUGGUCAAUGGACGAGAGUCUGAACCAGCCAAGUAGCGUGAAGGAUGACUGCCCUAUGGGUUGUAAACUUCUUUUAUACGGGAAUAAAGUGAGGCACGUGUGCCUUUUUGUAUGUACCGUAUGAAUAAGGAUCGGCUAACUCCGUGCCAGCAGCCGCGGUAAUACGGAGGAUCCGAGCGUUAUCCGGAUUUAUUGGGUUUAAAGGGAGCGUAGGCGGACGCUUAAGUCAGUUGUGAAAGUUUGCGGCUCAACCGUAAAAUUGCAGUUGAUACUGGGUGUCUUGAGUACAGUAGAGGCAGGCGGAAUUCGUGGUGUAGCGGUGAAAUGCUUAGAUAUCACGAAGAACUCCGAUUGCGAAGGCAGCUUGCUGGACUGUAACUGACGCUGAUGCUCGAAAGUGUGGGUAUCAAACAGGAUUAGAUACCCUGGUAGUCCACACAGUAAACGAUGAAUACUCGCUGUUUGCGAUAUACAGUAAGCGGCCAAGCGAAAGCGUUAAGUAUUCCACCUGGGGAGUACGCCGGCAACGGUGAAACUCAAAGGAAUUGACGGAGGCCCGCACAAGCGGAGGAACAUGUGGUUUAAUUCGAUGAUACGCGAGGAACCUUACCCGGGCUUAAAUUGCAACUGACUGAACCGGAAACGGUUCCUUCUUCGGACAGUUGUGAAGGUGCUGCAUGGUUGUCGUCAGCUCGUGCCGUGAGGUGUCGGCUUAAGUGCCAUAACGAGCGCAACCCUUAUCGAUAGUUACUAGCAGGUCAUGCUGAGGACUCUAUUGAGACUGCCGUCGUAAGAUGUGAGGAAGGUGGGGAUGACGUCAAAUCAGCACGGCCCUUACGUCCGGGGCUACACACGUGUUACAAUGGGGGGUACAGAAGGCAGCUACACGGCGACGUGGUGCUAAUCCCGAAAGCCUCUCUCAGUUCGGAUUGGAGUCUGCAACCCGACUCCAUGAAGCUGGAUUCGCUAGUAAUCGCGCAUCAGCCACGGCGCGGUGAAUACGUUCCCG